rnacentral:rRNA from 1 species
UACAGAGGGUGCAAGCGUUGUUCGGAAUUAUUGGGCGUAAAGAGCUCGUAGGCGGUCUGUCGCGUCGAAUGUGAAAACCCGCAGCUCAACUGUGGGCUUGCAGCUGAUACGGGCAGGCUUGAGUUCGGUAGGGGAGACUGGAAUUCCUGGUGUAGCGGUGAAAUGCGCAGAUAUCAGGAGGAACACCGGUGGCGAGGGCGGGUCUCUGGGCCGAUACUGACGCUGAGGAGCGAAAGCGUGGGGAGCGAACAGG